rnacentral:lncRNA from 13 species
CUCUACUGUCAGUAGCUGCCCUCCACUCUACUGUCUGAGCCAGUGGUGUAGUGGAGGGUCAACACAUGUAGACUCCGGUCACUCUGAAUUGAAAUAUAGGGAUUGAAUGUUACCUUUUUCACUGGAAUGGUGUGGACUGGGUUACGAUUCAGUAGGAUUGGGAUCGACUCUGGGUUCAACUGGACCGGGGUUACGAUUCAGUAGGAUUGGGAUCGACUCUGGGUUCAACUGGACUGGGUUACGAUUCAGUAGGAUUGGGAUCAACUCUGGGUUCAACUGGACCGGGGUGAGAUUCAGUAGGAUUGGGUUCAACUCUGGUUUCAACUGGACUGGGUUACGAUUCAGUAGGAUUGGGAUCAACUCUGGUUUCAACUGGACUGGGUUACGAUUCAGUAGGAUUGGGAUCAAAUCUGGUUUCAACUGGACCGGGGUUAUGAUUCAGUAGGCUUGGGGUCAACUCUGUUUUCAGUUCAGACAAUUUGAAAUGCUACUUGUCAAUAGUCAGAAUCCACAUAGAAAAAAUAAUUUGUUAUUUCAAUACAAUCAUUGAAAUCCUGAAUCCUGAGUUGAGGUCAGCGCUCACACUUUCACACAAAUCUUCCAUUGACAUCAACGUAUGAUCUACACAGAAGUCUACUUUUUAAGUGUGCACAGAGAUCUCAAGGACUAGGAUUCCUCCCAGACUGACUUUGGGUUCACUUUGGGUCCGAUUCAGACUUGAGAUGAGUAGUCUUACAGUAAAUCAUUUGUUUUUGUUUUACUGAAGUCCACGUUUAUUAAAACUCAAGUCUGAAUUGUGACCUUCCUGACCUAAUUUUGAUCUGAAAUGGGUUUUGACCCGAAACCCUGCUGAUUGUCUGUCUGUCCCCUUCAGGGCUGUCUGUCAUUCUGCUGCUCACGUAGACAACCAGACAGUCUGGUUUUAAUCCAGAUGUUUAACAUAGCUGACAUUUAGUUUUGUAUGUCUGCCUGUUUCUAUUAAGAGAUUAAAAAAUAUAACAUGGUAGAAGUUGCUCUCUCUGUGAGAUUCCCCCAAUAACCCAAAUAUAUAUGUGUGGGAGUAGUGUGUGUCUAGUCAAAUGCAGUGCACUAUAUAGGGAAUAGGGUGCUAUUUGGGACUCAACCGAGGUGUAGUUAAGACCGUUUCUAGAUAAUGUUUUAAAGAGGAGCACUGUGUUGUUUAGGGUUACAGAAUUCCUCUAUCUUUCCCAACACUCCCAAAGUUUUCCAGAAGUCCUCUAUCUUUCCCAACACUCCCAAAGUUUUACAGAAGUCCUCUAUCUUUCCCAACACUCCCAAAGUUUUCUAGAAGUCCUCUAUCUUUCCCAACACUCCCAAAGUUUUCCAGACGUCCUCUAUCUUUCCCAACACUCCCAAAGUUUUCCAGAAGUCCUCUAUCUUUCCCAACACUCCCAAAGUUUUCCAGAAGUCCUCUAUCUUUCCCAACACUCCCAAAGUUUUCCAGAAGUCCUCUAUCUUUCCCAACACUCCCAAAGUUUUCCAGAAGUCCUCUAUCUUUCCCAACACUCUCAAAGUUUUACAGAAUUCCUCUAUCUUUCCCAACGCUCCAAAGUUUUACAGAAUUCCCAGUUGGACGAUUCCUGGAAUGGCGAUCGGAUAAGCAGGAAAUACGGGAAUCGUCCAACUAGGAUUUGUUAAAUACCAUGGAACUUUGAGAAGGUUUACGGAGUUUGUGCAACGCUACUAGGUGUCUAGAUCACAUCUUUAAACAGGAGGGUGUAUUGAGGUAAUACUGUAGUGUUGAUGGCACCGGUUAACUGACCAGUCUGAUUUUAGGGAGAAACAACUCACUCUGGACACAGAUCCAGUUAACUGACCAGUCUGAUUUUUAGGAAGAAACGACUCACUCUGGACACAGAUCCAGUUAACUGACCAGUCUGAUUUUUAGUAAGAAACGACUCAGUCUGAACACAGAUCCAGUUAACUGACCAGUCUGAUUUUAGGAAGAAACGACUCAGUCUGAACACAGAUGCUAAAUUGAGAUGUAUUCUCAUCAAUAGCAGCAUUAGUCACAUUUUUAUAGUGCAAAAGCAAUG